rnacentral:snoRNA from 1 species
AUGGAGGAUAGGAAACGCCUCAUAGCGUAACUGUGGUUUGCUUUACUCACAGGACUGUUUAUUAGAGCUGCGGGCAGGAACUAUUAACACAGAG